UACUCUUAUAUACCAUUUGUAAUUGUCUUCUAUGCAUUGCAGUAGAUACUUGUUGUGACAUGACUUAAUCACUUUGUAUUGAAAGUGAUUUUGUACUAUAUAGAAGUUUAUGAUUGUUUCAAGAACUUCCUUGUCUCUAUACAUUUGUCCUUGUAAUACUCUAAAAUUAAAUAAAAUAAUAAUAAAAAUAAUAAUAACAAAUAAAUAAAUAAUAAAGGAAGAAAAAAACUUUUUUUCCUUCAUUCCUUUCCCUUCUCCUCCUUCUUCCUCCCUGCUGCUGCUGCUGCUGCUCUCUCUCUCUCUCUCUCUCUCUCUCUCUCUCUCUCUCUGUUUUCCACUAUUUUCGGCCACAACCCCGCCGCCCAACCACCAAGCUUCUCUCCCUCUUCCUUCUUCUCGUCGGCGCCACCCUUUCCUUCUCCCUCUCGUCAUUUUCUUCGCUGCAGCAAAAUGGGAAGGCGUCCUCUUUACUGCCAUCGCCAGAACUACCACCUGCAGCCAUUUCUUUGUAAAUGCGAUGCCGGAAUCAAGCUCCCCACCGUCGACAACCCCAAGCUAGCUUCCCCUUCACCAUUUUUCCUCCACCAACAGCCUUGGGAGAGUCUCAGUGGAGCAACUCCCUUCUCACCGCAAGGGUUAGGCGGUGAUUUUAGUGUUUUCGGACUCCUCGCAAUUCAAGCUUCACGUAGGCAUAUCCGAAUUCGAAAUCCGGCACCGUUGGCAGUACCAGAUUUCAGACCCUGAUGUUUUUCGGAUGCGCAAUCUUGGAUUUUAGCUCGAUAAUCUGUCCGUCCAGCUAGCUCCAUCCGGAGUGUAGGAUCAGACUGCAGUGCGGCAGAACUAAUGAGGCGGCAGUAGAACAUGCCACCUGAUGGGUUGCAUCAGGACCGCGCGCGCUGGUAUUAAUCAGAAACAGGUGACAGCUAGGUUCUCCGUCGUCUUCCUCUUAACAGCCCGACUUCCUUCUCCUUUGGACUUAUUGUAAUUAAUUUCUACUUUUGUAUUUUGAACUAUUUAAAAUUCUAGACUUUCCGCAGUGGUGUACCUAGCAUAUUAUAUUUGAAUUUGGUCUGUAACAAGUUAUGGAAUGUUUGCCAACAUCCAGUUAGAAAUCUAUGAAUGAAAUGUUGGGCUGUUUUAAUAGUAUGUA